GCACCGGUAGCUCAACCGGAUAGAGUACCUGGCUUCGAACCAGGUGGUUGGGGGUUCAAGUCCCUCCCGGUGCA
rnacentral:tRNA from 1 species